rnacentral:snoRNA from 1 species
UCCAAAGUGUCAAGUUCAGUUCAGGGAAUGUCCCUGAUUGCCUAAUCAAACUUUCAGACACUGUAACACAGCCUAUCGGAAGCAGUGAGAUAGUAAGUCUUACUCUAUUCACUUACUUCUUAGUCUACAAAC